rnacentral:rRNA from 1 species
UACGAGGGGGGGCAAGCGUUGUUCGGAAUUAUUGGGCGUAAAGGGUGCGUAGGCGGUUUGGUAAGUCUUAUGUGAAAUCUACAGGCUCAACUUGUAGUCUGCAUGAGAAACUGCCGGGCUUGAGUAUGGGAGAGGUGAGUGGAAUUCCUGGUGUAGCGGUGAAAUGCGUAGAUAUCAGGAGGAACACCUGUGGCGAAAGCGGCUCACUGGAACGGUACUGACGCUGAGGCGCGAAAGCGUGGGGAGCGAACAGG